rnacentral:rRNA from 1 species
UACGAAGGGGGCUAGCGUUGUUCGGAUUUACUGGGCGUAAAGCGCACGUAGGCGGAUUGGUCAGUUAGGGGUGAAAUCCCAGAGCUCAACUCUGGAACUGCCUUUAAUACUGCCAGUCUCGAGUCCGGAAGAGGUAAGUGGAACUCCUAGUGUAGAGGUGGAAUUCGUAGAUAUUAGGAAGAACACCAGUGGCGAAGGCGGCUCACUGGCCCGAUACUGACGCUGAGGCACGAAAGCGUGGGGAGCAAACAGG